GAGACCAAUUUGGCCUGGGGAGAACCGCCUUCAGGCGUUUGGACUCAGUGGAGGUUGUGAGUGCCCAGCAGUGUGGCCUGAAUCUCCGUGGGGUUUAGGGAGACGAAAGGACCCCAGAUCGACGUCCCCUCGUUCCCACUUUGGGGAUCGGCGCUCUGGCUGUUUCGUGAAGGAGAGAGAGGUUGAUUCCAUACCCUGGCUAUUGUGAAUAAUGCUGCAGUGAACAUGGGAGUACAUACAUCUGUUUGAGGAACUCAGAGUGGUUUUCCAGAUGGGAAUCACAUUGCUCUCUGUCCCUGAGAUCUUGCUGGAGACAGGGCUACUCAGUCCCUCUUUGCCAGAUUGAUACUGGAAAAGCAGUUUCUAUUGAGCCCCCAAAUGAAGAGUGAGUGCAGAUGAAGAGGAGGCAGGACUCACAAGCCCUUGAACUUUAUUCCAGAUCUGUUAGCACCUACAGGACCCUGCACCAGGAUUUCAUCUGUACUAUCAGCUUCUUCAAAGAGAGAGAGGUUGUUGAAUUGAUAUUGGAAAAGCAGUUUCCCAUUGAGUCUCAAAUGAAGAGAGUGCAGAUGAAGAGGAGGUAGGAGUCACAAGCCCUUGACCCUCAUGCUAGACCCAUUACCACCCACAGGACCUUGCAGUGGGAUUUCAUCUGCACCAUCAGCUUCUUCAGAGAGAGAGGUUGUUGACUCUUCAUGUGGAUGUCUGAGCUCAUAUCAGGUGUCUGAAAGAGGCAGAUUCUGAGGAUUUGGGUCAUGAUGGCUGCCAAAGCUUCUACUCCUGACUUAAAGGGCAACAAUCCUAGGAGACCACCAGCACUUACAUCCCUGGUAGGACAUGACACCUGCUUAUGGCUCAGAAGUGACAAAAGAGAAUUAUCAGGAUGGCAGUCCUUAUAACCAGAUGCUUAUCAACAUUCUUCACUACAUUCUGAAGAUGAAUUUCUACAAGGGAAAUUGUUUAUAUUUGUUGUUGGGGAUAGAUAAGGAAAGAAGAAAAAGGCUCUGGUGAGAAACCCAUUGUACCUUCUGGAUAUGAUCACUACCCAAUUUUAUCAGUGUCAUUGAUCACUAACCCAGUGCCUCGUAUGGUGCCAGGCACAGAGUUACUCCAAGAAUGUACAAUAAUGGCUGGAUUCUCUUUCUCCCUGUGCAACUCUUCAUGCAUGUGACUGAACUUAUAUUAAGUGUCUGAAGGAGGUUCGUUCUGAGGAUCUGGGACAUGAUGGGUGCUGAAGCUUCUACUCAAGAUUUGAAGGGCAGCUGUCCUCAGGAGACCCCUGGCACUUCCCUCCAUGGUGGGAUGUGAUGCCUGAUUCCAGUGAGUUCAUAGAGCUGAACAAAAGGAGGCAGCAGAUGGCUGAAAUUCUGAUCCGAUGUGGCUGGUUAAUGCAUGAUCUGAAAACCCCUGCACUGGUGAUUUUGGGACAGAUCUAGAAUAUACCAAUAAAUAUAUUAACAUACCAAGUAGUCUAGGAGCAGCCACUGGGCGAACACCAAACCUUGCAUCCCUGCUGCUGUCUCUGAGCUCAGCAGACACGUCUUUGCAGAAGAGUUCUAUAAUGGUGGUACAAUGGUGCCCCCUCGUGACAGAAGCUUGAACUACAGCUUGAACAUCGAGAUGAAAAUAUACUGUCUACGUUGUUCAACACAAUAGCUAAUGGCAACUGUGGCAGUUGAACACCCGAAACGUGAUGAAUGUGACUGAGGAACUGAACUUUUAGUUUCAUUGUGACAUGAUGAAUGAAUUUAUUGAGCCCCAGGAAGAAGGAAAAUUAAAGAAGAGCAAAGAAUAAUAGCUGGACAGAAGAUGGGGGUCAUUGAACCUAUAUCCUAGUUGCCAGACCAGUAAACUGACCAUGGGACCUGGGGGAGGCAGCAGAUGACCGAAAACCUGGAGUGAUGUGGCUGAAUACCGCAUGAUCUGAAGACUGCACUGGUGGCUGCGGUAUGGGUCCAAAUUUUUCCUUAACAAAAACAAAAAAAGAGCCCAAAACCAUACUGACUAGUCCAGGAAUAGCCAUUAGGCAAACAACUUUUUGCUACCCUGGUGUUACCGAUUUCUGAACUCAACAGGUGAAUUCAAAGAUAUGCCUGUCUUUCCAGCAUGGGGAGCUGGAUUUGGGUCAGCUCAGGCGCAUGAUGUUGAACAGCUCUUAUGAGCUUCUGAUAGUGCCCAGGAAGUACAGAAACAACUGUCUACAAAUCUUUGAACUCAAGGCAUAUCACAGGGACAUUUGCUUUCUUCAACUAGAUAUCUGUUUUCUCAUAAAGAGAAACAAUGAGAAAUGGUUUUUCACAAUGCCUCGUUAGCCCUGAGGCUCAGCCAUCCCCUAGUGCUGUGUCCCAACAUUUAAAGGCCGUUGAAGUCCCACUCUAUGCCAUAUACUCUGUACAGGUUUUCUCAUUUACCCCUCAGGACAGCACUGUAAGGAUGGUGUGGUCAGUCCCAUUUCAUAGAUGACCAAACUCAGGCUUUCAGAGCCUAAGUCACUUCUCCAGAUAGGUGGUAGGAUUGAAAUGAGGUUCCAUCCCUCAUCAUCCAUAGACAGCCCUGAGUAGCCUCCCUUUUAGAAGAUGGGCUUCCAGGGCUUGAGAAAUGGUCAGAUUCCACCCCCCUGCUAUUGUGGACCAAUGCGUCCUCACUCCACAACCCCUCUGGGUGAUGAAGAAGAUAGAGAAGAUUAAAUCCCACCAUUUAUGCCAAGAGACCUGGGUGUAGGGCCACAUGAGUUGGUUGCUUCUCGAAGUGGUGAGUGGGCUCAGGCAGAAGCUCAAGUGUUGGCCUUGGGACAGGUGAGCUGGAGAGAAGGAAAGUAACAUACACUAAACUACUGUAAGAAAAUGCACUUUAUAUUUCAUCUCCUUUAAUCUUAACUGCUAUUCAAGGUACCUAUCACUUUGACAAUUAUUCAAAUCAGGGUACUUUAGGAAAGUUUAUGUAAAGCAGGGAAUAAACUCUUUUCUCUCCAGUUCAGCAGCUAACUCUAGAAUUACUUUUAAGUAUUUUUAAGUAUUUUUCCAUUUUUUUCUUGAUAUCUCCAGGACUCUCAAUGCUUGAAUUUUUCUCAAGGCCGACAGUACACACGCCCUAAGGUGUUCUUCACUAGUAUUUCUUUUUAAAUUACAAUCUAUAUAUAUCUUAUUCAUAUUAUUGAAGUUGAAAACACAUUCUAAAUGAAAAUAACACUAAGAAUGUCUGUAAAAUAACGGGGAAACAUUUUCAAACUACAUCUCAGAUGUUGGAUUAGUAUCCAUAAUUUAUAGGGCAAACUCAGUAACAAAACAGUUGGCAACUAAUUUUGACAUAGAAUUCCAAUAGAUAUAGACAUGAACAAGGAACUUGUUGAUUAUGCUAAAACUAUAAGAACUAAUAAGAUGCUAAUAUAAAUCCUCAGAAGAAUAUUAAGUGGAAAAGACAGCUUGCAAAAGGAGAUGAUUAAUGUGGUUGCACUUUUUGGCAAAGAUUACGUGCAUAUGUAGGUGAACAUGGUCAUGUGCACCUCAUCCACAGAAACAUGUCUGGAAAGUGUGCACCAUUCUAUGGACAACAGACCUUUUGGGUCAGGAGGUAGGAGUUGAGCUACUGAGAGGUGAAGAUUAAUUACAAUUCAUAUAUGUGCUUUUGUAUAUUGUCUGAAAUUUGGUAUUCAGGAAUAAAAAUAUUUUGAUGAAUAUUUAGACACAACAUAACAUACAUUUGCACAGAUUGACAAAAGUAAUGUGUAUUAUGUUCAUUAAUUUGAAAUAGCUAUUACUGUAUUCUAUUUAAUGGUGAAGGAAGUAGUUAAGUAGAAGGACACAAAACAAGUCUCAACAAAUUUAAAAAAUCAAAAUCAUAUCAAGUAUGUUCUCAGACAAAAAUGUAAUAAAAGUAGAAAUCAAUAACAAGAGGAACCUGGGAAACUGUACAAAUAUGUGGAAAAUAAACAAACAGCAUGCUCCAGAAUGACCACUGAGUCAAGAAAAAAAAUAUGGAGGAUAUCAAAAAGUUAUUUGAAACAAAUGAAAAUGGAAACACAACAUACCAAAAUCUAUGGGAUACAGCAAAAGCAGUGCUUAGAGAAAAAUUUGUAGCAAUAGAUGCCUACAUCAAAAAAGUAAAAAGAUUCCAAAUAACCAAUCUAACUGUUCACCUCAAGGAACUAAAAAAGGAAAAACCAAAUCCCAAAUGAGUAGAAGGAAGGAAACAGUAAAGGUCAGAGCCAAACUAAACAAAAUAGAAACUAAAAAUAUACAAAAUUUUAAUGAAACAAAAAGUUAGAUUUCUGAAAAGAUAAAAAAUUGAUAAACCAUCAGCUAGACUAACCAAGAAAAAAAAGAGAGAAGACACAAAUAAACAACAUCAGAAAUGAAAAAGGAGACACUACAACUGAUAACAUGGAAAUACAAAUAAUCAUCAGAGACUAUUAUAAACAAUUAUAUACCACCAAAUUGGAAAGCCUAGAGGAAAUAGAUAAAUUCCUGGACGUAUACCACCUACCAAGAUUGAAUCAGGAAGAAAUAGAAAACCUGAACAGACCAAUAGUAAGUAAUGAGAUUGAAUCAGUAAUAAAAAUUUUCCAACAGAGAAAAGCCCAGACCUGGAUGGUUUCUCUGAUGAAUUCUACCAAACCUUCAAAGGAGAACUAACAAAAGUUAUAUUCAAACUACUGAAAAAAAAUUGAAGAGGAGAGAAUUCUCCCUAACUCAUUUUAUGAGGGCAGCAUUAUUAUGAUAUUAAAAACCAGACAAGGACUCAACAACAACAAAAAACUACAGGCCAAUAACCCUGAUGAAAAUAGAUGCAAAAGUUCUCAACAAAAUACUAGCAACCUGAAUCCAACAGCACAUCAAAAAGAUAAUAUGCCGUGAUCAAGUGGGAUUUAUACCAGGGAUGCAAAGAUGGUUCAACAUAUGCAAAUCAACAAACAUAAUACAUUACAUCAACAGAAUGAAGGACAAAAACCAUAUGAUUAUCUCAACCAAUCCAUAAAAAGCAUUUGAUAAAAUUCAUCAUCCCUUCAUGAUAAAAACUCUCAAGAAACUAGGCAUCAAAAGAACGUAACUCAAAAUAAUAAAAACCAUAUAUGAUAAACUCAGGGCUAACAUCAUAAUGAAUGGGGAAAAGCUGAAACCAUUUCAUCUAAGAACUGGAACAAGACAAGGGUCUUGUUUUUUCACCUUCAUCACUACUAUUCAACAUAGUACUGGAAGACCUAGCCAGAGCAAUCAGACAAGAGAAAUAACAGAUAUCCAAGUUGGAUAUCUUUACAUUUGUUCCUCUUUGCAAAUGAUAUAAUUUUAUAUCUAGAAAAACCUAAUGACUCCAUCAAAACCCUCCCAAAUUUGAUAAAUACAAUAUAGUUUUAGGAUAGAACAUCAAUAUACAAAAAUCAGUAGUGUUUGUAUGCACCAAUGACGAAAUAGCUGAUGAUGAAAUAGUGGAGAAAGAAAUUAAAAAGGCAUGCCUACUUGAAAUAGCUACCAAAAAAAAAACCUAGGAAUAAAUUUAACCAAGUAGGUGAAAGACCUCUACAAGGAAAACUACACAACACUGAUGAAAGAAAUUGAAGAGGACACAAGCAAAUGGAAAGAUAUCCUAUGCUCAUGGCCUGGAAGAAUUAAUAUAGUUAAAAUGACCAUACUGUCAAAGGUAAUCUGCAGAUUCAAUGCAAUCCUUAUCAAAGUACCAAUGACAUUUUUUGCAGAAAUAGAAAAAACAAUCCUAAAAUUGAUAUGCAACCACAAAGGAACCCGGAUAACCAAACCAAUCCAGACCAAAAAGAACAAAGCUGGAGGCAUCACACUACUUGACUUCAAAAUAUAUUACAAGGCUAUGGUAAUCAAAACAGCAUGGUAUUGGUAUGAAAACAGACACAAAGACCAAUGGAACAGAAUAGAGAACGCAGAAAUAAAUCCACAUGUUUACAGACAAAACUGAUUUUCAACAAAGGCACCAAGAACGUACGUUGGAGAAAGGACAUCCUCCUCAAUAAAUGGUAUUGGGAAAAUUGGAUAUGCAUAUGCAGAAGAAUGAAACUGCAUCUCUGUCUCUCAUCAUAUACAGACAUCAACUCAAGAUCAAUUAAAGACUUAAAUGUAAGAUCUGAAACUAUAAAAGUACUAGACAAAAACCUGGGGGAAACACUUUAGUACAUUGGUCUAGGCAAAUAUUUUAUGGCUAAGACCUUAAAAGCACAGACAACAAAACCGAAAAUAGACAAAUGACCAAUAUGUGUGUCCACCACAGAGUCCAGGGCCUUUCCUCUGCAACACCUUGUCAGCGUCAGUACUUUCUUCAUUCCUCUGUAGCCUUUCUCACCUCCCUAUACUUGGGGAGUCUAAAUGGCACUACUUUAUGAGUGUCUGUAGAGCAAUACUUAUCAAGGCCUACAUAGGCACACACGCUUUGUGCUAGCAUUUCCUUUUAUAUGUUUAUCUUCAGGACUUAGUGAAGAAUGUUGAUUAAAAUCUGGUUACAAGUACUGCCAUCCUGAUAUUUCCCUUUUUUCACUUUUGGGCUUGAAUUUAGAAAGGGAGACGAAAUGAGAUGCAAAGACACAAGCCAGAAGGAAGUAAAGGGAAAUGUGGUUGUCAGCACACACAUACACUCACACUCUCUCUCUCACACACACACACUCACUCCUACAUCAACCAGGUUCUGUUAUCACAAUACUACAAUUCUCUCAACAUAGUUGUUGGGCUCCAAGGGGACCCAUUCAGCUCACCAGAGCAAAUAGCCAUGGGAACUCUGCCCUGGAUUACAACCACUACCAGUGCACAGACUCUGAAAAGAUGCUAUCCAUGUCGUGUAGAUAAUAGGGAAUAUUGGAACACUCUGAAUAAUAUGGGGUUGUGAAAAUUGAUUAUGUCACAUCCACAGUAUGAAAUUUCAGAAGAGAGCAAAAAUGAGUUAUAUUGAAACAAUGAUGAGAGAUGAUUUUUUUUGCCUAUCAGAUUAGUAAAGAUUCACAUUAUUUCUAAUAUGAGCAGAAAGGAACUUUCACACUGGAAUAUUAGUAGUAUAAUGCUUUUAUUAAAAGUAUUUUGAUUUCAGAUAAAUGCAUGGGGGCAAGAUGGCAGAUAGGAGGCAGGACCAGCUUGCAGCUCCUGCUGAGAUGGACAGAGCAGCAUGUGGAGACUCGUACUGUAAACCUUUGCUCCAAGAAGUACUGCAGGAACAUACCAGGAAAGCUGAGAGAAUCCACAGACCCUUUGAAGAAACUGGAUCACUGUUGCAGGCCCCCUGAGAUGCCGAAAAACUGUGAGUCUGCUUGCUUUGUCAGUGGGGAAGCUGGUGGUCUGGGACAAGUUCUCAGCCCUGGUCACUGGUUGCCCUGAAAUAGACUCGGUGCUGUUGUAGGGCACAGUGGGAAUGACACCAGCCUUUAGGGCUGCAGGCUGCAUGGGAGCAGGGUGAGGCCCAUGACCGCUGACUUUCCCCCACUUGCUGGCAAACUGUAUGGUUCAGCAGAAGCAGCCAUAAUCCCCCUGGGAAUAUAACUCCAUUGGACCAGACACCACACCCCCAUCCCCCACAGCAGUCACAGCAAGCCACACCCAAGGAGAGGCUGAGCUCAGCCAUGCCUAUCCCUGCCCCUACCGGGUGGUCUUUCUCUACACACCCUGGUAGACAAAGACCAAGGUCAUAAUCUCUUGGGAGUUCUAUGGCCCUGCCCACCGCCUGAGAAAUCUGAAUACUUAACCAGCUGUCCCUAGGGAAAGUUGGCAUCCUCUCUGCAGGACCACAACUGAUGCACUCUUGAAAUCACCACCUCCUAGCUGGAGGCCAACCAACACAAAACUAGCACACUAAACCAAAAUACAACCAAGGACCCUUACAGAGUCCACUUCACUCCCCUGCUACCUCCACUGGCUGCAAAACCUGAAGAUGGAUCACAUCACAGGACUCUUUGCAGACACUCCCCAGUACCAGCCCGGAGCCCAGUAGCUCCACUGGGUGGCUAGACCCAGAAGAGCAAAAACAAUCAUGACACUUUGGCCCUCAGGAAGCCGCAUUUAUAGGGGAAGGGGGAGAACACCACAUCAAGGGAGCACCCCAUGGGACAAAAGAAUCUGAACAGCAGCUCUUGAAUUCCAGAUCUUCCCUCUGACAUAGUCUACCCAAAUGAGAAAGAGCGAGAAAAAAAUUUCUGCUAAUACGACAAAACAAGUUUCUUUAACACCCCCGAAACAUUGCACUAGCUCACCAGCAAUGGAUCCAAACUAAGAUGAAAUCUUGGAAUAGCCAGAAAAAGAAUUCAGAAGGUUGAUUAUUAAGCUAAUAAAAGAGGCAGCAGAGAAAGAUGAAGUCCAACUUAAAUAAAUCAAAAACGUGAUGCAGGAUAUGAAAGGAAAAUUAUUCAGUGAAACAGCAUAAAUUAAAAAAAAAACAAUUACAAUUUCGAGAAAUCGGGGAACAUAUAGAGAAAUGCAAAACGCACUGGAAAGUCUCAGCAAUCAAUCGAACAAGCAGAAGAAAGAACUUCAGAGCUCAAAGACAGGCUUUCAAAUUAACCCAAUCCAUCAAAGACAAAGAAAAAAGAAUUUUAGGCUGGGUGUGGUGGCUCACGCCUGUAAUCCCAGCACUUUGGGAGGCCGAGGCAGGUGGAUCACGAGGUCAGGAGAUCGAGACCAUCCUGGCAAACACGGUGAAACCCUGUCUCUACUAAAAAUACAAAAAAAAAAAAAAUUAGCCGUCAUAGUGGCAGGUGCCUGUAGUCCCAGCUACUCAGGAGGCUGAGGCAGGAGAAUGGCGUGAACCCGGGAGGUGGAGCUUGCAGUGAGCCAAGAUCGCGCUACUGCACUCUAGCCUGGGCGACAGAGCAAAACUCCGUCUCAAAAAAAAAAAAAAAAAAAAAGAAUUGUAAAAAAAAUGACUAAAGCAUCCAAGAAGUUUGAGACUAUGUUAAAUGUCGAAACCUAAGAAUAAUUAGUGUUCCUAAGGAAGAAGAGAAAUCUAAAAGUUUGGAAAACGUAUUUGAGGGAAUAAUCAAAGAAAACUUCCCUGGCCUUGCUAGAGAUCUGGAGAAAUACAAGAAGUUCAAAGAACACCUGGGAAAUUCAUUGCAAAAAAGAUCAUUGCCUAGGCACAUAGUCAUCAAGUUAUCUAAAGUCAAGACAAAGGAAAGAAUCCUAAGAGCUAUGAGGCAAAAGCAUCAGGUAAUCUAUAAAGGAAAACCUAUCAGAUUAACAGCAGAUUUUUCAGCAGAAACCCUACAAGCUAGAAUGAAUUUGGGUCCUAUUUUUAGCCUCCUUAAGCAAAACAAUUAUCAGCCACGAAUUUUGUAUCCAGAGAGAAACUAAGCUUCAUAAAUGAAGGAAAGAUACAGUCUUUCCCAGACAAACAAAUGCUGAGAGAAUUCACUACUACUAAGCCAGCAGUACAAGAACUGCUAAAAAGAGCUCUAAAUAUUAAAAUAAAUCCUUAAAAUAUACCAAAAUAGAAUCUCCCUAAAGCAUAAAUCUCACAGGACCUAUAUGACAAUAACACAGUCCAAAAUAUAUGUAUGUAUGUAUAUAUAUAUGCAGGCAACAAAUAGCACAAUGAAUAAAAUAGUACUUCAUCUCAGUACUAACAUUGAAUGUAAAUAGCCUAAAUGCUCCACUUAAAAGAUACAGAAUGGCAGAAUGGAUAAGAAUUCACCAACCUAGUUUCUGCUGUCUUCAGGAGAUUCACGUAACACAUAAGGACUCACAUAAACUUAAGGUAAAGGGAUAGAAAAAUAUAUUCCAUGCAAAUGGACACCAAAAGUGAGCAAGAGUAGCUAUUCUCACAUCAGACAAAACAAACUUUAAGGCAACAGCAGUUAAAAAAGACAGAGGGACAUUAUAUAAUGAUAAAAGGACUAGUCCAACAGGAAAAUAUCACAAUUCUGAAUAUAUAUGCACCUAACACUGGACCUUUUGAUUUAUAAAACAGUUACUACUAGACCUAAGAAAUGAAAUAAACGGCAACACAAUAAAAGUGGGAGACUUUAAUACUUCACUGACAGCACUAGACAGGUCAUCAAGACAGAAAGUCAACAAAGAAACAAUGUACUUAAACUAUACCUUAUAACAAAUGGACUUAACAGAUAUUUACAGAACAGUCUACCCAACAACUACAGAAUAUAUAUUCUAUUCAUCAGUACAUGGAACAUUCUCCGAGAUAGACCACAUGAAAGGCCACAAAACAAGUCUCAGUAAAUUUAAGAAAAUCGAAAUUAUAUCGAGUACUCUCUCAGACCACAAUGGAAUAAAAUUGGAAAUCAACUCCAAAAGGAACCUUAAAAACCAUGCAAAUACAUGGAAAUUAAAUAACUUGCUCCUGAGUGAUCGUUGUGUCAACAAUGAAAUCAAGAUGGAAAUUUAAAAAUUCUUUGAAUUGAAAGAUAAUAGUGACACAACCUAUCAAAACCUCUGAGAUACAGCAAAAGCAGUGCUAACAGGAUAGUUCAUAGCAUUGAAUGCCUACAUCAAAAAGUCUGAAAGAGCACAAAUAGACAAUCUAAGAUCAUACCUCAUGGAACUAGAGAAACAAGAACAAUCUAAACCCAAACCCAGGAGAAGAAAAGAAAUAACGAAGAUCAGAGCAGAACUAAAUGAAAUUGAAACAAACAAAAACAAUACAAAAGAUAAAUGAAACAAAAAGCUGGUUCUUUGAAAAGAUAAAUAAAACUGAUAGACCAUUAGCAAGAUUAACCAAGAAGAGAGAAGUUUCAAAUAAGCUCAAUUAGAAAUGAAAUGGGAGAUAUUACAACUGAUAUCACAGAAAUACAAAAGAUUAUUCAAGGCUACUAUGAACACGUUUAUGUGCAUAAACUAGAAAACUUACAAGAGAUGGAUAAAUUCCUGGAAAUAUACAACCCUCCUAGAUUAAACCAGGAAGAGAUUGAAAUAGUAAUACAAAGAUUGCCAAUAACUAAAAAAUAAGUUCAGAACCAGACAGAUUCACAGCUGAAUUCUAUCAGACAUUCAAAGAAUUGGUACCAAUCCUAUUGACACUAUUCCAAAAGAUAGAAAAAGAGAGAAUCCUCCCCCAAAUCAUUCUAUGAAGCCAGUUUCACCAUAAUAUCAAAACCAGGGAAGGACAUAACAAAAAAGAAAGCUACAGACCAAUAUCCCUGAUGAACAUAGAUGCAAAAAUCCUCAAGAAAAUACUAAUGAACCAAAUUCAACAACAUAUCAAAAAGAAAAUCCACCAUGAUCAAGUGGGUUUCAUGCCAUUAAUGCAGGGAUGAUUUAAUAUACACAAGUAAUAAAUGUGAUAGAGCACAUACACAGAUUUAAAACAAAAAUCACAUGAUCAUCUCAAUAGAUGCAGAAAAAAGCAUUUGACAAAAUCCAGCAUCCCUUUAUGAUUAAAACCCUCAGCAAAAUCGGCAUAAAGGGGACAUACCUUAGAGUAAUAAAAGCCAUCUACAACACAAACAAAGGGAAACGCAUCCCAUGCUCAUGGAUGGGUACAUAUGGAACCAAAAAAGAGCCCAAAUAGCCAAAGCAAGACAAAAAAAAAAAAAAAAUAGGCGCAUAGACCAAUGGAACAGAAUAGAGAACCCAAAAAUAAAGCCAAAUACAGCCAACUGAUCUUUAACAAAGCAAACAAAAACAUGAAGUGGAGAAAGGACACCCUAUUCAACAAAUGGUGCUGGGAUAAUUGGCAAGCCACAUGUAGAAGAAUGAAACUGGAUCCUCAUCUCUCACCUUAUACAAAAAUCAACUCAAGAUGGAUCAAAGACUUAAAUCUAACACCCAUAAAGAUUCUAGAAGAUAAUAUUAGAAAAACCCUUCUAGACAUUGGCUUAGGCAAAGACUUCAUGACCAAGAACCCAAAAGCAAAUGCAACAAAAACAAGAAUAAAUAGAUGGGACUUAAUUAAACUACAAAGCUUCUGCACAGCAAAAGAAAUAAUCAGCAGAGUUAACAGACAACCUACAGAGUGGGAGAAAAUCUUCACAAUCUAUACAUCUGACAAAGGACUAUUAUCCAGAAUCUACAAAUAACUCAAAUCAACAAGAAAAAACAAAACAAAACAAAAUAAAAAUAUCAAAAAGUGGGCUAAGGACAUGAAUAGACAAUUCUCAAAAGAAGAUAUACAAAUGGCCAGCAAGCAUAUGGAAAAAUGCUCAACAUCACUAGUGAUCAGGGAAAUGCAUAUCAAAACCACAAUGCAACACCAUCUUAUAACUGCAAGAAUGGCCAUAAUAAAAAAAUAAAAAAAUAAUAGAUGUUUGAGUAAGGUGGGGUGAAAAGGGAACACUUUUACACUGCUGGUGGGAGUGUAAACUAAUACAACCACUGUGGAAAACAGUGUGGCGAUUCGUUAAAGAACUAAAAGUAGAUCUCCCGUUUGAUCCAGCAAUCCCACUACUGGGUAUCUACCCAGAAGAAAAUAAGUCAUUAUACAAAAAAGAUACUUGCACACACGUUUAUAGCAGCACAAUUUGCAAUUGCAAAAAUAUGGAACCAACCCAAAUGCCCAUCAAUCAAUGAGUGGAUAAAGAAAAUGUGAGAUAUAUAUAUAUAUAUUAUAUAUAUAUAUAUGAAUACUACUAAGCCAUAAAAAAAAGAAAUAAUGGCAUUCGCAGCAACCUGGAUGGAAUUGGAGAUUAUUAUUCUAAGUGAAGUAACUCAGGAAUGGAAAACCAAACAGUGUAUGUUCUCACUCAUGUGGGAGCUAAGCUAUGAGGACGCAAAGGCAUAAGAAUGAUACAUUGGUCUUUGGGGACUCAGGGGAAACAGUGGGGAGUGUUGAGGGAUAAAAGACUAUACAUUGGGUACAGUGUACACUGCUUGGGUGAAGGGUGUGCCGAAAUCUCAGAAAUCACCGCUGAAUAACUUAUUGAUGUAAACAAACACCACCUGUUCCCCAAAAACCUAUUUAGAUAAAAAAAAAUUAAAAAAAGUAAAAGUAUUUUGAUUUCAUCAUCUUGAUAUAAAAUUUUUAAGUGUCUGGGGCUUAAAGAUACUCUUUCAAAAACUUAUAAAGAAAUUAUUACUGAAAUAUUUGUACAUAUGAGCAAGAGUGUUAUAUAUACCAUUGUCUGUAAUAGAAACUAUGGUAAGGGAACUAAAUUUUCACCACUAGGUUACUGUGGAAAUAAACUUUAGGAUAUCAUAUAAAUGAAACACUGGGUCCAUAAAAAAUAUUGAUAUUAUGUUGUAAUUUCAAAUGUUAUCAUAGAAAUGUAUUUCCAUGAAAAGAUAGUAAUAAAGAUGUAAAGAGGGUUACAAAGAUAACAAGUAGCCUGGAUCCCUUUUUUCUUAUAUAGGUCUCUAUUUAUCCAGGGGUCAAAGAAUAAAAAUUAAAAUAUUUUGUCUUCCUCUCACAUAGAGCUCUCUUCUCGGCAUAGUAAAAGGCAGCAAUUUUUGUCUGGAGUCCUUCAGUACCCCUAUACACUGGGAAUGCUCACUUUUCCACCAAGAUUUCCAGAAAGCUUUAUAGGGUGGGCUUGGGCCACAAUCUCUCCUUCCCACCUUCCUGUUCUAGCUGCAAUGCAGAUUUGUGUCGGGAAAGGGCACCACGGUACCACCAUUAUCAAACUUUUCAGCAAAGAAGUGUCCGCAAGGAGCAAAAACUACAAUACCUCCUUACGACCCACCUUAUGAACCCAG
rnacentral:lncRNA from 1 species